GACGAACGCUGGCGGCGUGCUUAACACAUGCAAGUCGAACGGAAAGGCCCUGCUUUUGUGGGGUGCUCGAGUGGCGAACGGGUGAGUAACACGUGAGUAACCUGCCCUUGACUUUGGGAUAACUUCAGGAAACUGGGUCUAAUACCGGAUAGGAGCUCCUGCUGCAUGGUGGGGGUUGGAAAGUUUCGGCGGUUGGGGAUGGACUCGCGGCUUAUCAGCUUGUUGGUGGGGUAGUGGCUUACCAAGGCUUUGACGGGUAGCCGGCCUGAGAGGGUGACCGGCCACAUUGGGCCUGAGAUACGGCCCAGACUCCUACGGGAGGCAGCAGUGGGGAAUAUUGCACAAUGGGCGGAAGCCUGAUGCAGCAACGCCGCGUGCGGGAUGACGGCCUUCGGGUUGUAAACCGCUUUCGCCUGUGACGAAGCGUGAGUGACGGUAAUGGGUAAAGAAGCACCGGCUAACUACGUG
rnacentral:rRNA from 1 species